rnacentral:rRNA from 1 species
GAUGAACGCUGGCGGCGUGCCUAACACAUGCAAGUCGAACGGAGUCCAGCCUUUAAGACCUUCGGGUCAAAGAGGGGAAGACUGAGUGGCGGACGGGUGAGUAACACGUGGGCAACCUGGCUCAUAGAGGGGGAUAACAGAGAGAAAUUUCUGCUAAUACCGCAUAAGCACACACUGCCGCAUGGCAGAGGGUGAAAAGAGAAUCGCUAUGAGAUGGACCCGCGUCUGAUUAGCCAGUUGGCAGGGUAAGAGCCUACCAAAGCGACGAUCAGUAGCCGAUCUGAGAGGAUGAACGGCCACAUUGGGACUGAGACACGGCCCAAACUCCUACGGGAGGCAGCAGUGGGGGAUAUUGCACAACGGGGGGAACCCUGAUGCAGCGACGCCGCGUGAGUGAAGAAGUAUUUCGGUAUGUAAAGCUCUAUCAGCAGGGAAGAUAAUGACAGUACCUGAAUAAGAAGCCCCGGCUAACUACGUG